rnacentral:rRNA from 1 species
GAUGAACGCUGGCGGCGUGCCUAAUACAUGCAAGUCGAGCGAACGGACGAGAAGCUUGCUUUUCUGAUGUUAGCGGCGGACGGGUGAGUAACACGUGGAUAACCUACCUAUAAGACUGGGAUAACUUCGGGAAACCGGAGCUAAUACCGGAUAAUAUUUUGAACCGCAUGGUUCAAAAGUGAAAGACGGUCUUGCUGUCACUUAUAGAUGGAUCCGCGCUGCAUUAGCUAGUUGGUAGGUAACGGCUUACCAAGGCAACGAUGCAUAGCCGACCUGAGAGGGUGAUCGGCCACACUGGAACUGAGACACGGUCCAGACUCCUACGGGAGGCAGCAGUAGGCAAUCUUCCGCAAUGGGCGAAAGCCUGACGGAGCAACGCCGCGUGAGUGAUGAAGGUCUUCGGAUCGUAAAACUCUGUUAUUAGGGAAGAACAUAUGCGUAAGUAACUGUGCACAUCUUGACGGUACCUAAUCAGAAAGCCACGGCUAACUACGUG